CUUAUAAAAAGUCCGUGACACUGAAGUAAGUCAAAUUGUUUUUAGAAAGUCGCGCACUCGCUACACGUUUCACCGUGUAAUUAAUUUUCUCGGACUAUUUUUGUCGCGAAUCGUGUAAAUGGUUUUUUGUCGUACCUAGAUUUAUGUACGCAGGCGCGUACCUAUUUUCGUGUGAACAAUAUUCUUUUGCGUAUUUUUGUCCCC